rnacentral:rRNA from 1 species
UACGGAGGGUGCAAGCGUUAUCCGGAUUCACUGGGUUUAAAGGGUGCGUAGGUGGGCAGGUAAGUCAGUGGUGAAAUCUCCGGGCUUAACCCGGAACUGCCGUUGAUACUAUUUGUCUUGAAUAUUGUGGAGGUAAGCGGAAUAUGUCUGUAGCGGUGAAAUGCUUAGAUAUGACAUAGAACACCAAUUGCGAAGGCAGCUUACUACACAACGAUUGACGCUGAGGCACGAAAGCGUGGGGAUCAAACAGG